rnacentral:rRNA from 1 species
CAACGGGUGGAGCCUGCGGUUUAAUUGGACUCAACGCCGGGAAUCUCACCGGAUAAGACAGCGGAAUGAUUGCCGGGCUGAAGACUCUGCAUGACUAGCUGAGAGGAGGUGCAUGGCCGUCGUCAGUUCGUACUGUGAAGCAUCCUGUUUAGUCAGGCAACGAGCGAGACCCACGCCAACAGUUGCCAGCAUGUUCUCCGGAAUGAUGGGGACACUGUUGGGACCGCCUCUGCUAAAGAGGAGGAAGGAAUGGGCAACGGUAGGUCAGCAUGCCCCGAAUUAUCCGGGCUACACGCGGGCUACAAUGGGCAGGACAAUGGGUAUCGACACCGAAAGGUGAAGGUAAUCCCCUAAACCUGUCCUUAGUUCGGAUUGUGGGCUGCAACUCGCCCACAUGAAGCUGGAAUCCGUAGUAAUCGCGUUUCAAAAUAGCGCGGUGAAUCUGUCCCUGCUCCUUGCACACACCGCCCGUCAAACCACCCGAGUGAGGUCUGGACGAGGCUGCGGUCGUUGCCGCAGUCGAAUCUGGGUUUCGCAAGGGGGGUU